CCUACGGGAGGCUGCAGUGGGGAAUAUUGGACAAUGGGCGAAAGCCUGAUCCAGCCAUGCCGCGUGUGUGAAGAAGGCCUUCGGGUUGUAAAGCACUUUCAGUGGGGAAGAAAGCCUUGGGGCUAAUACCCUCGAGGAAGGACAUCACCCACAGAAGAAGCACCGGCUAACUCCGUGCCAGCAGCCGCGGUAAUACGGAGGGUGCGAGCGUUAAUCGGAAUUACUGGGCGUAAAGCGCGCGUAGGCGGUCUGAUAAGCCGGUUGUGAAAGCCCCGGGCUCAACCUGGGAACGGCAUCCGGAACUGUCAGGCUAGAGUGCAGGAGAGGAAGGUAGAAUUCCCGGUGUAGCGGUGAAAUGCGUAGAGAUCGGGAGGAAUACCAGUGGCGAAGGCGGCCUUCUGGACUGACACUGACGCUGAGGUGCGAAAGCGUGGGUAGCAAACAGGAUUAGAUACCCGAUAUC
rnacentral:rRNA from 1 species